rnacentral:rRNA from 1 species
UACGUAGGGAGCAAGCGUUGUCCGGAAUCAUUGGGCGUAAAGCGCGCGUAGGCGGCCCUGUAAGUCCGCUGUGAAAGUCAAAGGCUCAACCUUUGAAAGCCGGUGGAUACUGCAGGGCUAGAGUCCGGAAGGGGCGAGUGGAAUUCCUGGUGUAGCGGUGGAAUGCGCAGAUAUCAGGAGGAACACCAAUGGCGAAGGCAGCUCGCUGGGACGGUACUGACGCUGAGACGCGAAAGCGUGGGGAGCAAACGGG